AUGGGAACUAAUUCGCUGGAAGAAUUGGUUCCCUGCUACUACAUCAUCAAAGGUGCUGCAAUUAAGGGAUGGGAACUAAUUCUCUGGAAGAAUUGGUUCCCUGCUACUACAUCAUCAAGGGUGCUGCAAUUAAGGGCUGAUCCACGUCGACAACUAAUCAGUGAAGGCUGUGAGGAAGUGUUAUUGUUGCAUCCCAAGCUCCCAUGGCCUCUACUUCUAAUCAGCAGACUGGUGGCAAUCACUAGGAUUAAUCUAGGUGUCAGUUUCAUACAUGGCUUGUGCAUGCAUUUGGGUAGUGACAUCAUAAACAACGUGGAGGUUUGUUUGGAAUAUCUGUACCACAAGUGCUCUGUUUUUCAGGCUUCAGUGGAUCUCAAGUUUUAUGUAGAUUUCAGGAGCUAUUUGAGAACAGUACUGAGUAUUUGA
rnacentral:rRNA from 1 species